GAUGAACGCUGGCGGCGUGCCUAAUACAUGCAAGUCGAGCGAACAGACGAGGAGCUUGCUCCUUCGACGUUAGCGGCGGACGGGUGAGUAACACGUAGGUAACCUACCUAUAAGACUGGGAUAACUUCGGGAAACCGGAGCUAAUACCGGAUAAUAUUUCGAACCGCAUGGUUCGAUAGUGAAAGAUGGCUUUGUUAUCACUUAUAGAUGGACCUGCGCCGUAUUAGCUAGUUGGUAAGGUAACGGCUUACCAAGGCAACGAUACGUAGCCGACCUGAGAGGGUGAUCGGCCACACUGGAACUGAGACACGGUCCAGACUCCUACGGGAGGCAGCAGUAGGGAAUCUUCCGCAAUGGGCGAAAGCCUGACGGAGCAACGCCGCGUGAGUGAUGAAGGUCUUCGGAUCGUAAAACUCUGUUAUUAGGGAAGAACAAACGUGUAAGUAACUGUGCACGUCUUGACGGUACCUAAUCAGAAAGCCACGGCUAACUACGUG
rnacentral:rRNA from 1 species